rnacentral:rRNA from 1 species
ACUCCUACGGGAGGCAGCAGUGGGGAAUUUUGGACAAUGGGGGAAACCCUGAUCCAGCAAUGCCGCGUGAGUGAAGAAGGCCUUCGGGUUGUAAAGCUCUUUCAGUUGAGAAGAAAAGAUUGUGACUAAUAAUCAUAAUUAAUGACGGUAUCAACAGAAGAAGCACCGGCUAACUACGUGCCAGCAGCCGCGGUAAU